CCAGGUCGUGUUUCUGAAAACCAAGCGCGGGUGUCCCUCAGGGGCAGGGAACCCCGGAACCCCUUGAAGGCCUUGCCCAAGCCAGAGAAAUCAUCUGUCUUCUGUUUGACAAAAACCUACAAGUUAACAUGGAGAUAAUGUCACAGACUCAGAGCUUUGAAUCAAUUGUCAACAGAAAGCUAUCCUAGGGCUUCCCUGGUGGCGCAGUGGUUGAGAGUCCACCUGCCGAUGCAGGGGACACGGGUUCGUGCC